GGCUUCGUGGUCUAGUGGUAUGAUUCCUGCUUUGGGCUGUUGCACAAAUUGCAGGAGGCCCCGCGUUCGAAUCGCGGCGGAGCCC